GUUGGGCCAGCGGGACGGACAGACAGGCGGAUAGUGAGAGGUCGAGAGGGAGUAAGAGGUGUGUAGCGGUGAACGUUGGGCCAGCGGGACGGACAGACAGGCGGAUAGUGAGAGGUCGAGAGGGAGUAAGAGGUGUGUAGCGGUGAACGUUGGGCCAGCGGGACGGACAGACAGGCGGAUAGUGAGAGGUCGAGAGGGAGUAAGAGGUGUGUAGCGGUGAACGUUGGGCCAGCGGGACGGACAGACAGGCGGAUAGUGAGAGGUCGAGAGGGAGUAAGAGGUGUGUAGCGGUGAACGUUGGGCCAGCGGGACGGACAGACAGGCGGAUAGUGAGAGGUCGAGAGGGAGUAAGAGGUGUGUAGCGGUGAACGUUGGGCCAGCGGGACGGACAGACAGGCGGAUAGUGAGAGGUCGAGAGGGAGUAAGAGGUGUGUAGCGGUGAACGUUGGGCCAGCGGGACGGACAGACAGGCGGAUAGUGAGAGGUCGAGAGGGAGUAAGAGGUGUGUAGCGGUGAACGUUGGGCCAGCGGGACGGACAGACAGGCGGAUAGUGAGAGGUCGAGAGGGAGUAAGAGGUGUGUAGCGGUCAACGUUGGGCCAGCGGGACGGACAGACAGGCGGAUAGUGAGAGGUCGA